ensembl:lncRNA
GAAACACACUGGGCUUGCCUCCCAGGGAGCAGCUUGGUGGCUCCAGGGUCGCGUGCGUGCCUGGUGCAUGGCUUCCCCUGGUACGUUGGUCCUGGAGCAUCUUCCCAGAAGGUGCCAUGUUCCUUGGUGAGGGAAGUACUGCCUCAUUUGGUAGAAGUCACUGGGGUGCCCCCUUAGGGGCUGAGUGGCCUGCUGCCAGCACCCAAGAUGCCACCAAUGGGAUGGCACUGCCACCGUCAGGCUUGACAUAAAGUGUAAAGGUCUUGCUUUCUUAAGAUGCAUUGAGCUGAGCAGCCAGCGUGAUGCACACUGCCAGCGUGAUGCGACUCUGGAACUGGGAUUGUCUGUGUAGGGGGGCAUGCAGAAAUGCGAGUUCCCUGUAAUAAGGGAAACCUGGGCCUUGCUGGGGAAGGUUUCUCUGCCCUAGCCCCCAGGCCACACUCUGGGCCAGGACAGCACGUGCUGUCCCAGUGGUGGAGCCAGGCUGCCAAGCCGUGGUACCUCUGGCCUCCAGGAUCUCCACCCAUCAGCUUCCCCUGGCCUAUCUGCUUCGAUCUGCCUCCCCACACAGUCCAUCUCUAGGCACGUUCCUCCUGGAAGGAGCCUCUGGAAUCACUGUUAGUGUGUUGGAUCUUUUUUGGAGUCCACCUGCUCCUCUGAGAAUCCUAAAGCCCUGGUGAGAGGAUUCCAGCUGGCUCCUUGGCUUCAGGGAGAAAUGGAUAACUUGUCCACACUGCCGAUACCUGCUCAGUGUGGCUCUUUGAAAAGUCCUCUCUAAAGGAGCUGGUGGCAGGAGGGCUUUGCCGUGGGGCUCCUGGAGGAUGAAAUUUUAGUUUCCCAAGUUCGUAUUUAUUUUCUAUAAACUACUCUUUAUCUUUGAUUUUUCAUACUGUUUUAUAGCAACAGGGAAUCCCAAGUAGGUCCUGUCUGGUCCCUGAAGGAAUGAAAGCUAACGUUUGGCAAGUUACAUCUUUGGGGAAAGCUUAGGACCCUUCAGAUGGUAACACUCAACAUCUGGGUGAUAGAUAUCUCUUCCAGACCCCACUUUCCUUCUGGAAACUAACUUCAGGCUAUUGAAGGAGAGAUGCUGGCUUAUUGCUUCUGUGAGGCAGGCAAGCAGGAGAAUGACUUGAGCUUAGAAGGUCUGUGCAAUUCGUGUCUAUAAAGUAAACAGGAGCAGGGCAGAUAAUUGAGAUCUUGAUGUGUGGUGGCCAGUCCUUAGCACCACCAGUGGAUCGUCCUCUCCUUGGGCUGCUGGCUUUGUAAGCAUGGGUGAGGAAGUGGGUCAAGGAGCAGACACAGGGCCUGGGGUUCUGACUCGUGUGGGAGCUCUACUGUCCGGCCCAGGGCCUUGCUCUGCUAUUCAGCGUCCUCUGGCGCCCCUGCAGUGAGCCCUGGCUCUGAGGGACCAGACAGGGCCACCUCCUGCUCCUGAGCAGCCAUUCUGGCAUCCUGAAGGUUCCUCCUGUAACUAGAUUCUGGUAUCCAGGUGUUCCCAGGACAAUCUUUUUCUUCAUAAAUGAGACUUCCUAGUGCUUUAGAGGUUCUCUCUCUUUUAAUUCUCUGUUCAUCUUGCACAUCAGGCAAGUCCAAAAUCAAGUGUUUAAACUUUUAGGAGAACAGAAGCUUAAGAUUUGUGCAUGGAAAUUGGGAUGUUAGUCAACUUAUAGUUAGCUUAAGCCUUGGUUCUUACAUAAUUUGGAUUUGAAAGGGUACCCCAUGUAACUUCCCUCCUCUCCCUCCUCACCUCACUUCUGGAAGAGAGCUCAGUGCCCAUGCUGACAGGAUUGUCUUCCCUCGGUGGGAAGAAUAGGGCAUCUUGCCAUUUCCUAAUAUUAUUUCAAGGAACUUUUGUGCACAUGUUGAAUGUAAAACUUCACACUAUUAAGGAACAUUAACUGUGAAUAUAUUGACCUGUGCUGUCCCCGGUACCAUACAGUUAAAGGACCAGCUUUUCCAUGUCUUGGAAAACAGUGCUAGGUACAAAAAGUGCAUUUCCCUUAGGAAAUGAAGCAACAGGAAUUUGGGCUAAGCAGGGACCAUGAACUUCUGUCCUCAAAUUACCUCAAGUUGAGGAGCAGACCUAAGUAGGCCCUGGCCCCCUGAGCCCGUACUAGUGGUGCUUCAGGCUAGCAAGGGCAUCUUGGAGGGCUGGCAGGUUAAUGCAGAAUUAGGGGGGAUUUAAGAAGUUCAAUAUGAAAGUGAUUGGGAAUUCAGAAACUCUUCCCAUGUAAACGUUAUCAGUGAGCAACCUACUCAGUGGAUUUUUAUACCUCAGGGCCAUUUGCAGAUUUUUAUCUUUCCACAUUUCUUUUGUAUUUGAGUGGGCUGUUAGAAGAGAUGAGUUUGGGGAAUGUUGUUCAUUUGCUGUUCAUUGCCUCUGUGGCCAAGCCAAGAUUGCUCAAGGCUGUGACGGUGGGCCUUCCACCUCCAGCACGUGCAGGCAUCCUUCCUACAGGGAGCGCUUAUGAGCUGGCUUUCCUCCUGCCCUGUCUGGAGAUGCCAGGAGUCCCUGGUCAGCCCUGAGAACAGGAGGGAAGAGGGCAGUUCACAGCAGCUGCAGCACUUGAGGCAGCUUUCCAUCCCACCAUCUGGGGCUGGGGACCUUCUUUGCAGACUUCUGUGGUUGACUCAGCUCAAGUAAGCUUUCUCUCUGUAUAUGCUAGAGCCACUGACAUCAUCUCAGAAGAAUUGUUUUAAAUAUCGGGCUGUACUUGAAGCAACAUGGAAACAAAAGGUUCCAAGUGGCAAGAGAGUAAAGUUCUAGGGGUUUGCAUGCCAAGGUUUAUAUGUACACAGAUCCAACACGCACUAUAAAACUUGAGUACCCAUUUUCAAGUUUGAAUACCCACUGGGUGUCAGACAUGAACGACUUGGAAGAAUGACUGGGAGUACUGUGUUCAUUGGCAGCAUAUCUUCUGGAUUUGCUCGCAUCUGACCAACAAGGAUUCAUUUGAGAAGUGGGCCCGUAUUCCUCUUCAGACUUACCCUGGAGAGAACUAUCAAGUGUGGACCCGGAGGACCCUGGGUACCUGCCCUUAGGUUGGGAGGCGCAGGCCCCUUGGGUAUAAACAGCUGGUUUCAGGCUCACAGAGCAGAAGGGAGAGGGAGAAAAGAGGAAGGCCUCAGGACUCUCAUUCCCGAGAGCCCAGCCUCACCCUGGUUCAUUACUCCCCAUGUCUAAAGUCUACUGUGAAGGUGGAAUGUCAGUCCAUUGACUUUUCGUUUCCGGAGUCGUUUAAGUCCACAAAUGUAUAUGCUUUAUUUUAUAUUAUUAUUUAUUAUGUACAUACGCCUCUACUGUUAGUGCAUCGUCUGUGACUGAGAUGAGAUCUGUUCCCGAGCCCCUCAUCCAUGGAGCCCAGGGUUCUGUUGUCUUUCAGAGUGGGUGAGAAGGAGUUUUGUUUGUUUUCGUCUCUUACGUUGGUCCUAGUGUGCCAGGCCCUUUAUUGGACCCACCUCUGUUCCUGACAGCAAGUGUUUUGAGAUGAGGAUGGAGGCAGGUCUCGUACUCCACGGCAGGGCCUCUUCAGGGACCUCUGUGAAGUACUUUAGAGGUGGUUUUGUGGUGACCGGGUCUGUUCUCUAGGCAGUGGUACAGCAUGGCUUUGAGGCCAGGGCCUCCACUCCCACACUCCGAAGCCAGGUUGGUGGCCUGGCCCCACAACAGGGAUGGUCUCCAAUUCCCACUUUGGAUCACAGGAUCCAUCUCUGUGCACUGGGGAAGCUGCCUGCCCACUUGGGCUUCUGAGAUGCCUUUUCUUGGUUUUGAGGUCCAAUGCCAUCACUGCCUUGGCGCCUCACAGAAGACCUGCUUUGAUUCUGAUUUCUACCCUCCUUAGUCUUUACUCACUGUAUCAUAGUGUACAUUUCAUGCUUUGCAGCAGCAGAGUUUUCUGAACACAAUUAUCUAGAGCUGUGUCCAUAAACCUAAAUAAGCACAAACGACAUGUAUAGGUUUCAUGAGCUGAUUGUCAUAAUGAAUGCAUUUUAUAAUUCAAAUGAUGUUGUAGAUUUACAAUCUAUUUAUUUUGUAUCAAUUUAUUUGUAAAUUUUGUGAUUGUUUUAAAAGGUUUUUGUUCAUUUCUAUUAUUCUAUUUAGAUAAAUGAUUUCU